UAUAAAACCUCCAAAACAUGUUGACUUUACAAGACAUAUAUCUUAACUUACAAAGCAAGUUUUCUAUUUAUGCACCAUAUGGUUAACUUAUUCCACAAGCUAUCAAUACAUGGUAAUUUGUUGACCAAGUUUCUAACCUAUCAAUCAACUACAUACACACACGUAAAGUCAAAAUAGCGUCUAUAAAGCUUCUAUAAAAAAUAUUAUGAAAUAAAUCUACUUUCACAUACUUCUACUUAAUUAUAUAGAUAAAUAUGAAGGUAAAUAUGUAAGUCUGUGAUAGAAGGUCAAGUACCAUAAAAUGAUAAGUGGAUGAAAAUUCACUAAAAUAAAUUAAGUUAUAUUCAUUCAAAUGGAUGUAACAUCAAAUAUUACAUCACAUGACAAUAAGUAUAUAUAUCCUAAAAUCUUUGUAGUUAUAAAGAUUUUUAUUUUAUUGCUAUGAAUUAAUAUCUAUUCUAAUUGGGUAUUAACCUUUAUAAUCUAAUUAAUUCAAUUAGCUUAGAUUAGCCAUGAUUUUAUCCAAUUUAGUCCAUUUUUUUAUUAAUAGAUAUUAAUAUUAAUAUUUUAUAAAGAUUAUAAGAAAAUUUUGAACAAGGCAGUUGACAUGUAUAUCUUUCAUAUAAUGUGAUGGUUGACCAUAAAAAUUCAAAAGUAUUAGAAAGAGAUUAAUUUUAUUUAGAUAUUAAUAAAUUACAUACAGAUGGUUGUUAACCUAAAUUUAAAUACUAAAAUAUAAUUCAUAACAAUAAAAUACAUAACUUUACGUAAAUGCAUGUAAAUAAAUUGCUUUGAAGGCCUUGAUUCUAGUCGCAAUGGUACUUUGUCUCUAGUCAAGAACAUUUGUAAGGAAUGGAUCGAUCUUGUUACACUAAUCUGAGUCCACGUCAGUCUUCAUGCCUAGAAGACCUGCCAGCUGGAACCUGUUCGAAAAACGACAUCAAAUACUCUCAAGGCCCGAGCUCCUGAGACAUGGCUCCCGCAUAUCGAGGAAAUGUCUUCUUUCCUAUUGCAGAACUAAUUCUGCGAUGCGUCAUCGGCACUGGAUAGAACCGUUCAAAGACAAUCGCCAUCAAAUUCGAUCAACUUAGACUGUACGACAUCAAUCCAGGCCUGGUUAAGAGGGCGGAGCGACUGGUACCUCGCCGUACGUAUUUCCAUGGACCCAGAGAUUCAAGGCCAGUGAAGCCAGAGUUGCGAAAUUAUCUGAGACCGUACUCCAAAUAGCUUUGGCGAAUCAUUCGCCUACUCGCAAUGUUCCGGAGUCCGAAUGGCGCAGCGUAUAUUCUCCUGCAACACAAGAAUAGUUCUACUUGUUUCCUGGAUGACGUGUGGCGCCCCUUCCGACUGUAGCAUAUUCUUCCUCCUUUUAAAGGGCACCCGCGAAGAAACUCAUCAUCCCUAACACUCCUUUUCCAGGACCCCACUUUCGACACUCAGACAAACAUGUAGCUGCUCCCGACAAAAGCUCGGUAUUAUACCAGUUGUAUUCUAGAAUAUCAAUCGCAUCUUCUUCAGCACCCAAACUAAAGACUGAAUUUUUCACAUCCUCUCCCCACCGGUAGACUGCAAACGACUGGCCCAACUCAAACCCCUCCCCACACACACCCCCCC
rnacentral:lncRNA from 1 species